GAUGGGUCCUCACUCAAAAAGGUGUGAUGGGUCCUCACUCAAAAAGGUGUUGAUGGGACCUCACUCAAAAAGGUGUUGAUGGGUCCUCACUCAAAAAGGUGUUGAUGGGUCCUCACUCAAAAAGGUGUUGAUGGGACCUCACUCAAAAAGGUGUUGAUGGGUCCUCACUCAAAAAGGUGUGAUGGGACCUCACUCAAAAAGGUGUUGAUGGGCCCUCACUCAAAAAGGUGUUGAUGGGUCCUCACUCAAAAAGGUGUUGAUGGGUCCUCACUCAAAAAGGUGUUGAUGGGCCCUCACUCAAAA